rnacentral:rRNA from 1 species
UGCUAUACAUGCAGUCGAGCGGACAGAAGGGAGCUUGCUCCCGGAUGUUAGCGGCGGACGGGUGAGUAACACGUGGGUAACCUGCCUGUAAGACUGGGAUAACUCCGGGAAACCGGAGCUAAUACCGGAUAGUUCCUUGAACCGCAUGGUUCAAGGAUGAAAGACGGUUUCGGCUGUCACUUACAGAUGGACCCGCGGCGCAUUAGCUAGUUGGUGGGGUAAUGGCUCACCAAGGCGACGAUGCGUAGCCGACCUGAGAGGGUGAUCGGCCACACUGGGACUGAGACACGGCCCAGACUCCUACGGGAGGCAGCAGUAGGGAAUCUUCCGCAAUGGACGAAAGUCUGACGGAGCAACGCCGCGUGAGUGAUGAAGGUUUUCGGAUCGUAAAGCUCUGUUGUUAGGGAAGAACAAGUGCGAGAGUAACUGCUCGCACCUUGACGGUACCUAACCAGAAAGCCACGGCUAACUACGUGCCAGCAGCCGCGGUAAUACGUAGGUGGCAAGCGUUGUCCGGAAUUAUUGGGCGUAAAGGGCUCGCAGGCGGUUUCUUAAGUCUGAUGUGAAAGCCCCCGGCUCAACCGGGGAGGGUCAUUGGAAACUGGGAAACUUGAGUGCAGAAGAGGAGAGUGGAAUUCCACGUGUAGCGGUGAAAUGCGUAGAGAUGUGGAGGAACACCAGUGGCGAAGGCGACUCUCUGGUCUGUAACUGACGCUGAGGAGCGAAAGCGUGGGGAGCGAACAGGAUUAGAUACCCUGGUAGUCCACGCCGUAAACGAUGAGUGCUAAGUGUUAGGGGGUUUCCGCCCCUUAGUGCUGCAGCUAACGCAUUAAGCACUCCGCCUGGGGGAGUACGGUCGCAAGACUGAAACUCAAAGGAAUUGACGGGGGCCCGCACAAGCGGUGGAGCAUGUGGUUUAAUUCGAAAGCAACGCGAAGAACCUUACCAGGUC